UACGGGGGGGGCAAGCGUUGUUCGGAAUUACUGGGCGUAAAGGGCGCGCAGGCGGCUGCUCAAGUCAGGCGUGAAAGGCCUGGGCUCAACCCGGGAAUUGCGCUUGAGACUGGGCUGGCUUGAGUGCGGGAGAGGAUGGUGGAAUUCCCAGUGUAGAGGUGAAAUUCGUAGAUAUUGGGAAGAACACCGGUGGCGAAGGCGGCCAUCUGGACCGCAACUGACGCUGAGGCGCGAAAGCUAGGGGAGCAAACAGG
rnacentral:rRNA from 1 species